GAGUUUGCACCCAAGAAGCUCUUGCGCUAAAAUAAAGAAUGGGUGUUUUCUUCUUUGUUGCAAGCAGUUGGAUUGGCUAGCUCGCUGCCAUCUGCGUGACUGUCUAUUCUGUUGUGAAGAUGGGGUUUGCAGAUUUAAGUACAUUUCAAUGUGAUACAUAUGCUUUUCUCAGAAUCUGGAUUGUUUAAGGCUAAGGUAAUGCUCUGGCAGCACUUGCUAGUCACACAUGGGUUGUAACUUACAGCACAGAGUUUUAAAUUUUUUUUAUAUGUAAGAAUUGAAUACGAUACUAGGAGUUUACAACACUCACAUACUCUAUUUAAUCAACU